UAGCCAAGCAAUGUGUUGCUUGCUACAGUGGUUCUUCCUUUAAAUGUUUUGAGUUUAUGCCGCAACCGUUUGUGGUAGAUGGUGGCAGAUUAUGGUAAAUUGCGUCAUUCUGGCAACAAUGGCUGACACUUAAAUAAUGCGCAAUUGAAUUCUCUGGCACCCCACAAGCUGUGCUAUAGUACGUAACUUUUAAAGGAAUAACCACUGUAGCUAGCUAACCUAGCUAGCUUUAGUGAGGGUUGGGUGUCUCUGAUAGAACUGGCUAGCUAGCUAGCUAGAUUAUUUCUAGCAAAAUAUAAUCAAAAUGUUCCCUCCUGCAGUGGAUUGUUCUGGUCUGGCACCUCAGCUGCCGAUGGACAGACCCAGUCAACGGUAACUGUCAACUUGCGAGUCGGAAAAAUGAAUACUGGAGGUGAAGGAAUCUGCAUUAUGCGAGCUUCCAGUGACAAUUCAACAAUGGAUCAAGUUAUUUCAGCAACAAAAACAAGGAUUAUUGAAGCGCUCCUUGUCCAUCAUGCUAUUGUGAUUUUGUGCUGAACUUUGUAGUUUUAUGCAUUGUAUUUUAAUGUAGUCUAGCUACAGUAUGUAAGGUAAAAAGCUACAUUUUCCA